rnacentral:rRNA from 1 species
AGAGUUUGAUCCUGGCUCAGAUUGAACGCUGGCGGCAGGCCUAACACAUUCAAGUCAAGCGGUAGCACAGAGACCUUGCUCUCGGGUGACGAGCGGCGGACGGGUGAGUAAUGUCUGGGAAACUGCCUGAUGGAGGGGGAUAACUACUGGAAACGGUAGCUAAUACCGCAUAACGUCGCAAGACCAAAGUGGGGGACCUUCGGGCCUCAUGCCAUCAGAUGUGCCCAGAUGGGAUUAGCUAGUAGGUGGGGUAAUGGCUCACCUAGGCGACGAUCCCUAGCUGGUCUGAGAGGAUGACCAGCCACACUGGAACUGAGACACGGUCCAGACUCCUACGGGAGGCAGCAGUGGGGAAUAUUGCACAAUGGGCGCAAGCCUGAUGCAGCCAUGCCGCGUGUAUGAAGAAGGCCUUCGGGUUGUAAAGUACUUUCAGCGAGGAGGAAGGCAUUAAGGUUAAUAACCUUAGUGAUUGACGUUACUCGCAGAAGAAGCACCGGCUAACUCCGUGCCAGCAGCCGCGGUAAU